rnacentral:rRNA from 1 species
CAAAAACAUUUUUUAAUGACUUUUAUAUUAAAUAAAGCCUGCUCCUUGUAACAUAAAAAGCCGCAGAAAAUUUACUGUGCUAAGGUAGCAUAAUCACUUGUCUUUUAAUUUAAGACUAGAAUGAACGGCAUAACACUUAAUUAUUUUUCUUAACUAUAACCCUCUAAUUUUCAAUAAAAAUUAAAAUAUUUUUAUUCUUAUAAAAGACGACAAGACCCUAUAGAACUUCACUGUAGUUGAGCUGGGGAAGCUUAAUAAUAAUAAUCUUAUAUUACCCUUUUCAAUAAAUAACCUUUAAAAGAAAGUAAUCAAGUUACCUUAGGGAUAACAGCGUUAUAUAUUUUCAAAGCUCAUAUUAAUAAAUCUAUAUACGACCUCGAUGUUGAAUUAAUUUUACUCCCCUAUGCAAGAAUAGGAAUAGUAAGUCUGUUCGACUUUUUAAAAAUUACAUGAUCUGAGUUCAAACCGG